rnacentral:rRNA from 1 species
ACAAAGAGCAGCAAGUUCGCGAGGACAAGCAAAUCUCAUAAACCGUGGCUCAGUUCAGAUCGUAGGCUGCAACUCGCCUACGUGAAGGAGGAAUCGCUAGUAAUCGCAGGUCAGCAUACUGCGGUGAAUACGUUCCCGGGCCUUGUACACACCGCCCGUCACACCAUGGAAGUUGGCCACGCCCGAAGCCGUUACUCCAACCCUUGUGGAGGAGGACGUCGAAGGUGGGGCUGAUGACUGGGUGAAGUCGUAACAAGGUAGCCGUACCGGAAGGUGCGGCUGGAUCACCUCCUAAC